GCCUUCGUACUGUAGUGGUCAGCACGCUCGACGCGCAACCGAGAGGUCCGUGGUUCGAUUCCCGGUGAAGGCG
rfam:Stegodyphus mimosarum contig33851, whole genome shotgun sequence.